rnacentral:rRNA from 1 species
CCUACGGGAGGCAGCAGUAGGGAAUCUUCCACAAUGGACGAAAGUCUGAUGGAGCAACGCCGCGUGAGUGAAGAAGGGUUUCGGCUCGUAAAGCUCUGUUGGUAGUGACGAAAGAUAGAGGUAGUAACUGGCCUUUAUUUGACGGUAAUUACUUAGAAAGUCACGGCUAACUACGUGCCAGCAGCCGCGGUAAUACGUAGGUGGCAAGCGUUGUCCGGAUUUAUUGGGCGUAAAGCGAGUGCAGGCGGUUCAAUAAGCCUGAUGUGAAAGCCUUCGGCUCAACCGGAGAAUUGCAUCAGAAACUGUUGAACUGGAGUGCAGAAGAGGAGAGUGGAACUCCAUGUGUAGCGGUGGAAUGCGUAGAUAUAUGGAAGAACACCAGUGGCGAAGGCGGCUCUCUGGUCUGCAACUGACGCUGAGGCUCGAAAGCAUGGGUAGCGAACAGGAUUAGAUACCCGUGUAGUC